rnacentral:lncRNA from 1 species
UUAAACUUUUUCAAUCAUAAAUAAAAAUCAUAAAGCAUUGUUUACAAAAUGUUUUCAAAUCAUUUUCCAUCAGAGUGUCCCAAAAAUCAUAACAUUAGGAUGAGGAGCGGUACGGUCACGCCUUCGCCUUUCCAUGGACUCCUGAAGUACCUGAAACAAUAAACUGAAAACUGUAAGCCCGAGGGCUUAGUGAGCUACCCCCAAAAUACAAUUACCACACUGACAAUACCAUAUCAGUAAUAAUCAAUCAAUCAUCAUGCAUACUGGGCCAUCGGCCUGACUGGACCGCCUUACCGGGCCUACCAUCUGUCUGAAUCCAUCCCAACCUUUAGGCAUGACUGGUCCACCACGUAGGCCUACAGUCUCCACGGACCUCUCAUAGGGUAUGUUGGCCUUCAGCACAAAGCAGGACCACCUUAUCCCAACCAGCAAGAAAAUAACCAUGUGCGCAUAACUAUCAUAUACUGGCAUAUACAAACAUCAAGCAUAUCUAUCUCACUGAUCAUAAUAAUAGAAUUCUCCUGUAACUAGAGUACCGACCUAUCAGGUCACUGACACACUAAUCCCUAUGGAUCAUAAAAUCAUAACAUACUGUCUACCUCGAUUCCGAACUAACAAAUCAUGACCAGAUGCAACAUACCAUAACAAUAACAACUAAAGGGCCGGCCUUGGUGCCGUAGAACCUAUCGAUAUAGUGAGGAUAACUCACCUCGCAGAAGUCGACACGUAAGGUAAACUCCAAUUCUCGGAUCACUUGACACAGGUUACACCACCUAUCAUCAUAGUACAUCAUACUUAUAAGUCCUUAACCUUACAAGGUACUCCAUAAACCACUAGUCAACCCCUGGUCAAAGUCAAAGUCCUCAAUCAAGGUCAACAGUCCAUGUUGACCUUAACUCGCCGAGUACCCUUNCUUAUCUCACCGAGUACCCUUGGCUACUCGCCGAGUUCCCCGAAGUACAUUCCAACUCGCCGACUGAUCGGAAUGACUCGUCGAGUUCCUUUGAUCCUCGAUCAAAAUUAAGGUCACACGUCGAGUUCCCUCCUUGCAACUCGAAAGAUACACACUCAUACAUAAUCUAGGGAAAACUCAUCCUACUCGCCGAGUUGUUCUUCAACUUGUCGAGUCUUAUGGUGAUCUUCAUCGGGCUCGCCGAGUUGUUCAUCCAACUCGUCGAGUUCACGGACAUCUUCAUAUGACUCGCCGAGUCACCUUGCGACUCGCCGAGUCCAUUCAGUUCUUUUUCCAUACCGACUUGAUUUAAGCCAUGCAGCGGCCCCAAAUCACAGAUCCAAGUUUCUAGGGCAUACUUAUCACGUAAAGUUUCAAACUUUACGUGCAUGCAUGGCUAUAAAGGCUCUAAAUGUCUAUUUUAAGUUCUUAAUGAAGCUUCAAGUCUAAGAGGGACCUCAAUCACAACCAAUACAACAACUUUAUGAUUCUAGCACCUAGGGAGGGUCCAGAUCUGAAGUUACAACCUCAGAUCUAGCCCAUAGCUCAACCUUUCAACUUAAUACUUCACCAAAAACCCUAAAACUCAACAAUGGAAGAGAUUCACAAGAAGAAAGGCGAUUUGGUUACCUCCAGAAGAUGAUGACUGAGUAAGAGCUGAUUUCCACACUCCACUGGCUCCAAUACCCUUCUCCGCUAAGCCUUCUCUCUCCAAAAUCCUGUUUUCAAGCUUCAAUCACACAAUGGCACACGCACACACGUAUUAGGGUUUUAAGGGCUCUCAAAGAUUGCAAGGAGGCCAAAGGAGGCUGAGGCUCCAUUAAAUAGGGGUGCAAACCCCGGGAUUUAGGGGUUCUUCUGCCAGCUCCUAAUCACCGAGUCCCAAAGUGGACUCGUCGAGUAGGUCACUUAACACGCGGUCCCACCCCGCUGCUACUCGACGAGUAGGUCGAGCGACUCGUCGAGUAGAGCUUCAUCCAAUAAUUCUUAUGUAAUUAAUACCUGAGAAUCGUAGAUGAAGCUUCUCAACCACAUCAUAGUUUAAUGGGGUGAAUUUAAAUAAAGUACAUGAAAGACAUAUCUUUUCGUGUGGAAUUGACUUAAAUGAUGAACCCCAAAGGCAUUGCUUUUCAUGUGGGAUUGACUUAAAUGAUGAACCCCAAAGGCAUUAUCCAUUCCAAAUGAAUGAUAUUCUAGAUAUAUUUCAUGAUUACAUCGACGAUAUACAUGAUGUAGAAGGUGAUGAAAAUUGUGGGUUUCGAGCGGUAGCUGUUUGUUUGGGGUAUAAUGAAGACCAGUGGCUUUAUAUUCGAAAACAAUUUCUUGAAGAGUUAGAGAGUCAAUAUUACGCAUACCAUAAAGUUUUUACUGACGGGUUCAAUGAGGUAUACCAGUCAUUGCGUGGGUUUGAGUCACCUGCACCUUUCUGACGACAUUGGUUGCAUAUGCCUUUGACUGGUUACUUGACUGCCAACAAGUUUGGCGUGAUCGUUCAUUGUUUAAGCCACGAACAAUCUAUGACAUGCUUCCCUCUUUGGAGAGGCCCCAGAGAGUUCCAACCCCACCAAGCCAUUACGUUGGCACUUGUAAACGGUAUUCAUUAUAUGUCGGUGUUUUUGAAAGGAAAUUACCCAAUGCCUCCUACCACAACAUAUUGGAAUGCCCAUAAAAGUUUGUCUGCAUCUACAUGGCAAACUAUCUAUCGGCCAUAUUUUGAUUUAUAUAAUCAACUUAGGUGUCGUACUUCUGAAACACUUUGGAUUUAUAUUAAAGAUUAAGUGCGAAUGUAUUUGAGCUUUUAAUUAUGUUUUUAGUCCAAUUAUUAUUUUAUAUUUGAACUUUUUUUAUUAUUUGUUACGCUAAAAUAUUAUUUUAUUAUUGUUGUGUUGUGUUUUAAGUUUUUUUGUUAAAAAAUUUGAUUAUAAAUAUUUACAUAUCCUUUAUAAAAAAAGUAUUAUAAAUCAUCUAUUUAAUAAAUUAAAUAAAUAAUAUGUUAGUAAAUAUAAUUUAUAAAUAAUUAAAUAUAAAUAUGUUUGUAGAAAUAUAUCAUCAAAACCUAAUUAUUAAGAGUAAUAUUAAUUAGUAUAAAAUAUGCCAUGAUAAUCUAAUUAUUAAAAAAUAAUUAUUAGGGGUAAAAAGUCAAGGAUAUAUUUUGUAAGUUUAAUAAAAAUGGGAGGGAUAUAAUUGAGAUAAAAAUAAUAUCUUAAUAAAAAAUACGAAUAAUAAUAUUAUGUAUAUAUUUCCUUUAUUUUCCUUCACGUUUUUUAUUAAUCAUAAUUCAAUUAUUACAAUAAUUAAAAGUAAAAAUGAUUAGUAAAGAAAAGUAAAAUUAUUAGUAAAAACAAUGAUUAAUAUUAUUUUAUUAUUGUUGUGUAGUGUUUUAACUUUUUUUUGUUAAAAAAUUUGAUUAUAAAUAUUUACAUAUCUUUUAUAAAAAAGUAUUAUGAAUCAUAUAUUUAAUAAAUGAAAUAAAUAAUAUUUUAGUAAAUAUAAUUUAUAAAUAAUUAAUUAUAAAUAUGUUUGUAGAAAUAUAUCAUCAAAACCUAAUUAUUAUGAGUAAUAUUAAUUAGUAUAAAAUAUGUUAUGAUAAUCUAAUUAUUAAAAAACAAUUAUUAGGGGUAAAAAGCCAUUCAUGUAUUUUCUAAAUUUAAUAAAAAUGGAAGGGCUAGAAUUGAGAUAAAAAUAAUAUAUUAAUAAAAAAAUAUGAAUAAUAAUAUUAUGUAUAUAUUUUCUUUAUUCUCCUUCAUGUUUUUUUAUUAAUCAUAAUUUAAUUAUUACAAUAAUUAAAAGUAGUAAUGAUUAGUAAAGAAAAGUACACUGAUUAGUAAAAACAAUGAUCAGAAAAAAUGAUUAUAGGGUAGAAAUAAGUAGAGAUUAGGCAGAAAUAAAUGAAGCCUUCUAGUUUAUCAAAAGGUAUGGUCUAUUUUGAAUUAGAUGUGAUAGUUUCGCACCCGAACCAGCGGUGGAAAUGUCGAGCGAUGAGAUUGCAUCAUGGAUCACACUAAUAAACAUACAUUGAACAUACAAAAAUACAAUAGUAAAUAAAUUAUUUUAUUUAUUGAAAAUAGUAUAUUACAAUAUCCCUAAUCUUCAGGCAACCGAUGAAAUAUUGAAAUACAAAAAGGCUAUAAUUCUAUGAUCAUUCUUGUACUCUAUCCUCCAACAGUCUAAUUCCCUAAGGAUAAAUAAGUUUAAAGAGGUGUCAACAGAAAAGUUGAUGAGUUCACAGGUUUGUAAUAAUAUAACCAAAAUAUAUUUUCUUGCUAAAGUGUAGUUAUACUAGAGUUGAUAAGUACAUAUCGGGACCAAAAAGCGUUAUCUGGAUAUAUAGAUAGUUUCAUAUCUUAAUAUNUGUUUUCAUAACUAAGUUCCACAUAAAACGAUAUUCCUUAUAUGUCUAUAGGUAUUUCAAGUUUCCUAUACAUAUUUUAUAUUCACUAUAAGGUCCUAUAACCGAGACAUUUAAGACUGAUAGGCCUUUCCCGAUGCUUCAUCACAUCGUUAAAAUAAUAAAAAGAAAAUUAUCACCCAAUGGGACUCGGUCGUCAAGGUUGUAACUAGCAACCAUAGAUGGGGGUGUCAAGCUGAAAAUAUAUAUACAUAAUUCUUCUGCUCCUUAAGAAUUAACUAUUAUAAGGUAUAUGUAUUCCUAAAUAUAGAGAUACUUAGUUUGAUGAAAAAUGCUCACAUAAAAUUGAAACAUAUUAAUAACGGUAACUUUAUUAACAAGUUUUCGGGUAUAAUUUCCAUAGUAAUACACAAUACUAUAAUGAUUCUUUCAUUUGAGGUACCACAGUAUUACUACUAUAUUUUGUAUUGAGAAAGAGUUAUUACAAUAUAAUUCUACUAUAUCCAUUGUUUAAAAAAAGUUUUGAUACAGUUUCGAUAACAUUUCUAUAUAUCAAAUAAAAAUAGUAUAGUGUAUUUCAUUUAUCCCCCUAUCCCCCCACCAAAAAAAAUGAUAGAAGAUUUAAAAUGGGGUUGUGAUACUCACUCGGUUGUAGCAUAUGUCGAAAAUAUUCAUAUUUUCUGGAAAACAGUAGUUUGUACCCGAUAAAUUGUAAUUUUGACCGACGUGAAUAGUAGUUGAUCAGAAUCAUGUCAAAAAAUAACUUCACCGACAACGUGUGGUGGCGAUUAAAGGUAGUCGGCUUUGAUAGCUUCGUUGGAUGUGACUGAUUGGCAGGUGAGGGCUAGUUGGAGCUACGUUGUUUUUUGGAUUGGAGGAACAAGGAGGCAACCGACCAUUUCGGUGGUUCUCAGAUCUUUAGCUCAGUGGAGGUAGGCGGCGCAUGGAGGUCAUCGGCGACUUCGAUGGUGGUUGAGGGUGGCAAAGGGAGGUCCGACCUUCUGACGAGUAAGUGAGAAAGGGG